rnacentral:tRNA from 1 species
GCAGGUGUGGCUCAGUUGGUAGAGUAUUUGCCUGAUAUUCAAGAAGCCCUGGGUUCAAUCCCUAGGCUUCCA